ACUCAAAUGAAUUGACGGGGACCCGCACAAGUAGUGGAGCACUUGGUUUAAUUCGAUGCUAACCGAAGAACCUUACCAAGGCUUGAACUGUAACUGCUAAUCCUGUGAAAGCAGGACUCCUUCGAGGGUGUUACAGAGGUGCUGCAUGGCUGUUGUCAGCUCGUGUCGUGAGAUGUUGGGUUAAGUCCCGCAACGUGCGCAACCCCUAUUCGCUGUUAUAAUUUCUGCGAAGACCGCCUUGCCAAAACGAGGAGGAAGAUGGGGAUGACUUCUAGUCAUCAUAGCCCUUAUGUCUUGGGCUACACAAGUGCUACAAUGGUUACUACAAUGGGCUGCCAAACCGCAAGGUGGAGCUAAUCCCACAAAAGUAGCCUCAGUUCAGAUUGUCGGCUGAAAUUCGCCGGCAUGAAGUCGGAAUUACUAGUAAUCGCGGAUCAGCAUGCCGCGGUGAAUACGUUCUCGGGUCUUGUACACACCGCCCGU
rnacentral:rRNA from 1 species